UAGUCCACGCUGUAAACGAUGUCUACUAGCCGUUGGGUUGUAAUGAUUUGGUGGCGCAGCUAACGCGAUAAGUAGACCGCCUGGGGAGUACGGCCGCAAGGUUAAAACUCAAAUGAAUUGACGGGGGCCCGCACAAGCGGUGGAGCAUGUGGUUUAAUUCGACGCAACGCGAAGAACCUUACCUACUCUUGACAUCCUCAGAAGCUUGAAGAGAUUCGAGUGUGCCUUCGGGAACUGAGAGACAGGUGCUGCAUGGCUGUCGUCAGCUCGUGUUGUGAAAUGUUGGGUUAAGUCCCGUAACGAGCGCAACCCUUAUCCUUGAUUGCCAGCACGUAAUGGUGGGGACUUAAAGGAGACUGCCGGUGACAAACCGGAGGAAGGUGGGGACGACGUCAAGUCAUCAUGGCCCUUACGAGUAGGGCUACACACGUGCUACAAUGGCGUAUACAAAGGGAAGCGAGUCUGCGAGGGUGAGCGGAUCCGAGAAAGUACGUCGUAGUCCGGA
rnacentral:rRNA from 1 species